rnacentral:rRNA from 1 species
GUGAAAGACGGUCUUGCUGUCACUUAUAGAUGGAUCCGCGCUGCAUUAGCUAGUUGGUAAGGUAACGGCUUACCAAGGCAACGAUGCAUAGCCGACCUGAGAGGGUGAUCGGCCACACUGGAACUGAGACACGGUCCAGACUCCUACGGGAGGCAGCAGUAGGGAAUCUUCCGCAAUGGGCGAAAGCCUGACGGAGCAACGCCGCGUGAGUGAUGAAGGUCUUCGGAUCGUAAAACUCUGUUAUUAGGGAAGAACAUAUGUGUAAGUAACUGUGCACAUCU